UAGUCCACGCCGUAAACGAUGAGCACUAGUUAUUAGAGGUAUUGACCCCUUUAGUGACGUAGCUAACGCAUUAAGUGCUCCGCCUGGGGAGUACGGUCGCAAGACUAAAACUCAAAGGAAUUGACGGGGGCCCGCACAAGCGGUGGAUUAUGUGGUUUAAUUCGAAGCAACGCGAAUAACCUUACCUAGACUUGAAAUCCUGUGAAUCUGGCGUAAUGGCCGGAGUGCUCGCAAGAGAACGCAGUGACAGGUGCUGCAUGGCUGUCGUCAGCUCGUGUUGUGAAAUGUUGGGUUAAGUCUCGCAACGAGCGCAACCCCUAUCCUUAGUUGCCAGCAUUUAGUUGGGCACUCUAGGGAGACUGCCUGGGCAACCAGGAGGAAGGUGGGGGAUGACGUCAAGUCCUCAUGGCCCUUAUGUCUAGGGCUACACACGUAAUACAAUGGUGCAUACAAAGGGAAGCGACCCAGUGAUGGUGAGCAAAUCUCAAAAAGUGCAU
rnacentral:rRNA from 1 species